UGCCGCUCUCCUCUUUCCGCCGCCUCCCACAUCUCCCCCACUCCCUCAAGCGUCGCACCCCCUCCUCCCCUCCCGCAUCUCGUCCACCCUGGGAUCCGAGCGCAGUCGACCUUCCCCGGUGGCGGCGCUCCAUUCAAUCUGCAAGAGAGAGAGAGACCGAGAGAGAGGAUGGGAGGGAGAAGGAAGGAGAGGGAGAAAGAGAGAGGAGAGAGGAGAGGGAGACAUGGCGUCGGAUGGGAGAGGGUCACCACCGGCGUCCGCCUGCACCGGCGAGGUCGGGUCCUCAAGCCAUGGAGGUACUCGUCGUUGGGCCCUCACCGUUGGCCUCCCGUGCGUCGCACCGCCCCUCCUGCUGCCUUGGCUCUCUCCUCCUGCCUCGGUAGAUUGGAUCGAGGGUGCUACGCCGCCGUCGCCGACUGGAUUUGCUCCUCCAUCGCCGCCGUGAGUCAACUCCACCGUUGUCGCCAGGAAUCCGUCCCCCUGCUGCUGCAGCGAGUUAACUCCACCGUUGUCGCCAGGAAUCCGUCCCCCCUGCUGCAGACUGCUCGUCUUCCGGUUGCUGCAGUCGGAAUCGCGGCCCUGCAGAGGGCAUUGAAUAGGGUUUGGGUGGGGUUGACUCCUAUAACGAUGGCUGGCUACAUCAACCAGCAGCUGCACCUCCUUCGACUUCCGCAAUAUCGCCCACCGAGCUGCGUUGCUGUACGAAGACCUUCUGUAUUUCGGUGGUGCCAUGGUGUUCCUCUCCAGAUGAGCUGCCACCUUCUUCCCCCAUCAUUCCCCAUAGUUGCUCUGAUCUGUUCUACGAGGCAGAACCAAUCCUAAUUUAUGUUGGGUUUUUCAUGUGCCAAAGACCAAUAGUUUUUUGCCCUUUGCAUGGGGUAUUCCUUUCUUUGAGAAACAUUUUUGACUAAAGCUUCUUCGAUGCCCCAUGGACGCUCAGGUUUGCUUUCAUAGAUGCAGCGAAUAUCUAAAAUGUAUUGCAGUUCAUGAGUUAUUUAGCAAUGAUAAAAUGUUCUCUAUCGUUAUUUGCUUUUAGUAUGUAACAAGCUCCCCGGGUAGUGGUGGAUCUUUAUAUUAGCACAUGACUGAGCAGUUCGACAACAUUUAUAAUUUAUCAUUGUCAAGUCAGCCUUUGUGUGAUUCAAAAAGAACACACAGACUGCUGCACGGUACUAAAUUAUUUUUUAGCUGGGGUUGUUCAAUAGGAUUUAGAUUUUAAGCAGAAUAGGAUACAGAUCAGCGGUCCAUGUUUACAUACACUGGCAUAAGAAUUUGUUGUGCGGCAAGGAUUUGUACAGAUUUAAAGGGGAAUUAGUAGCUAACAUCUUCGCAACGUCACAUUGUUCCAUGAUUCUUCUUGUAUAUAAGAUACUAAGAUCUCUUGAUGAUGCUUUGUUUGAUGUUCUAUGUGGAAGUUAUUUGCAUUGCACUUCAGUUCAGAACAUGGAGGCUAAGAGGCUCACCAAUUGGUGCCUAUUUCUUGUGUUUAUGCAAAUGGUACCCUGUAAUGAAUACCUUGAGCUAUACGAUUCCUCUGGCAGACUUCAUAUAGCUAUUGUCUAAUACGCAUUAGUAUGUAUUAUUUAUCAGUCCGGUUGCAAACUUCUCGUGCGAUAGCCUUCUUUUUAUCAGUUCAGUUCAACUAAUUUUUAGAAAAGAACAUCCUUACCAAGCCUGCAUAUUUUAAGUUCGUGAGGCUUCAGUUUACUCUGUUUGCCUCACUACAGGAGAACAUUCAAGUACUUAUUGAACGAUUUCACCUCUGCUAUUCCCAAGAUAUGCUCUGCCAUUUUGUAGUGGGACUGUACUAAUUAUUCUGGCUGUUAUCCAUGUUACUGUCAUUUAUCAUGAUAAAAGUCGACUCAGCUGUGCCAGGUUAACUUAGUUCAAUUUUGAUAUGCCUAGAGUUCAGAUGUUGGGCUAUAAUUUUGAUAUGCUUUUGGUUAUGUAAUUGCAGAAAAAACAAAUUACAACCAUAUUUUGUAGCGAUCAUAUUAUUGUGAUGCUGGUUCUCAAAUUUAUGCGGGUACUUCUCGUGUUUUGUUAAUAGCUCACCAGUUUCAUUCCCUUUUGGUUUUUGAAUAUACAUCCUUGCCCCUCUUUUAUAUCUUCUUGGUUAUUUCUUAUCUUUUUAGUUCUCAUUUGUACAUAAGUAAUACUAGCAUCAGUCUGUGUGUUCUUACAUAACAGUUAGUCUCUAAGCUACCGAUUCAGUACCAAGCUUACGUUGUAUUAUCUUUUAGGCUGAAAGAAAAAGGCAAAAACAAUGAACAAUGUAAAAGCCCUCAACACUAAAGUACAGUCUGAGAAGAAAAGUACAAGGAAGAAAAUGAAAAGGCAGCAAAAAUCUGAUAAUAUGCAAAAUCCCAUUUAGAGUAUGAACCAUAGUGAAAAAAGGUUCAGUUUAGUUAUUAAAAGUUCUUUAGAUGCAGAUCACUUUCUACAUGUUUCUGCAAUUCUCUCCUAUUAUAUGGUUUGGUGUUUGUCCCGGUGUGCCGUGUUUGGUAUCCCAUUUCAUCAUCUUUAAGUCGAAUGGACACUAUUUUGUUUAUUAAUCACUUUUGAACUAAUACUCUUUCAACACUUAUUUUAUACAUAAAAAAACUUAACUGACAUUUAAGAAAGUUGACAUUGCAUCUCUGGUUCGUUCAAUGAAAUUUUCUGCUCUUCUAUUUAACUGUCUAUGGUUGAUUGUGAUAGUGAAGUCGAUAUUUUGAUUUCUAAUAGAAUAUACAUCUUAGUUUUCCUCUAUCUAUGUAGAGGGCUCAAGAAAGAGACAAGAACUUGUGCUUCAAGCAGCGAAGAUAGCCAGCCUAAAUGAAUCGAAACAAGAACAAGAAUCGGGAAAUUACAGAUCAGGAAGUGCAGCUGGCUGAUAUAGGUCUUGCAAUGUGCAUGUCAGGGACAGAAGUUGCUAAAGAAAGCUCCGGCAUUAUAAUCUUAGAUGAUGACUUCACAUCUAUUUUGAAGGGUCAUUGGAAUGGACCAAGUUAUGAAUGUUCCUGAAAUGUGAUACUAGAAUCUUUGAAGCGGAUGUUAUCAAGAUCAUGCCAAAGGCAGAGUGUGCCAAAGGCGAUGCGCAUUCCCGUUCUUAGUGAGAUGCAUUUACUCGAUGCAAAGUAUGAGCAUUGCAGACUCUGGCGAGCUGCUGAAGGUCGACGAGGAGGGCGCCGCCACCACCGUCAUCAGGCUGGUCCGCAUCCACGCGCUGCUCGGUGUCACCAGGUCACCGGCACAACUCUUCAUGCCCAGGUCGUUCAACAUUUUCUUCUGCUUUUGGUGCAGUCACAUUUAGAGUGUUUGUUUCCCAUUUUACUGUGUUUUCAUGGUAAGAUGUUAGGUUGGAUUUGAAGGUUCAUAGACUUGGCUCCAAAGCAUCAAUCUCUUGUAGAAAUUAGAACUGAGGGCCUUUUAAAAUGAGUCCUGCAUAAUAGUGUUGUUCAGUGGGAUGCAGAAUUUUUGUUUGUACUGAUUUACGUACUGAUUUCAUCAUCAUAUGACUACAAUGAAGAAGCUGUGUGUAUAAAUAUUACUAACUGAUGAUACUUUGCAUCAGUGAUUUCAA